UACGUAGGGUCCGAGCGUUGUCCGGAAUUCCUGGGCGUAAAGCGCUCGUAGGUGGUUUGUCGCGUUGUCCGUGAAAACUCACAGCUCAACUGUGGGCGUGCGGGCGAUACGGGCAGACUGGAGUACUGCAGGGGAGACUGGAAUUCCUGGUGUAGCGGUGGAAUGCGCAGAUAUCAGGAGGAACACCGGUGGCGAAGGCGGGUCUCUGGGCAGUAACUGACGCUGAGGAGCGAAAGCGUGGGGAGCGAACAGG
rnacentral:rRNA from 1 species